UUCCUAAACCCCUUGGGAUUUCUCAAGAGACAGCUUGCAUUUGCAGAGCUAAGCUCCCAAUUGUGUUGAGGCCUACACAUAAUGAAGUGGAAUGUGACACAGCAAGGGAGAAGAAAGGAAAUGUUCAUUUAUGUCUUUAUUACAUUGCUUCUGCCCAAACCAAAUGACUCCCGGCUGCCUCGUGACAGUGUAGAGUAACUGCACACAAAGUGUGCUGGAUGAACUCCCCUUUGGCAUCGUUCCCACAGGUGGAUGGGCUUGGCUCUACUAUACAGAGCUGUCUGCCCACCUUACUCUCCAUGAACUUCCUUAUGAGUGGCCUCUAGACGGGAGCCCUGAACAUUUCCACAGUUCCAGGGAAUCCAUUGCCUUCCUCUUCUCUUCAUUUUUUCAUAACCCAUGGCGGAACACCUAAUUUUUCUCUCCUCUCAUGUCAACACAAGUGGAAAACCUGUCAGAGAUUAAGCUGG